GAUGCGCAAAUAGAGAACCAUACAUAACCGGUGAAUAUUUGCUAGAAUUAGGAGGCAAUAAUUACCAUGGAGGUCACAACAAUAGGGACUGAAUAAAUGAUUACUAAUAUAAAAUCAAAAAAUGAUUUAGAAUGGCAUACCUUAAAAAGAGAACUCUACAAUGCAGAAGGUAGCUCACCAUUGAAGUAUUACUUAUGGGGUAGCAGCAUAAAUCUCCUUAGUCUACAAUAGAUUAAAAGUGUGAUGAAUUAUCCAGUAAUACAUGCAUGAUAACUUGAAAAACUCAAGUGGCUAAUUAAAUGGACGCAAAGACAUAACAAACCCGACCAAAUGUUGGAGUGGGUUCUGAAUGACCUACACCAAUGGCUGAGAAACAACAUUGAAAUAGAUGUUCAUGAUAAAGAAAAUUAAAAGAUGAUCUAAAGUGGCAGUGUCCUGAAUAACAAAGCAUAAGAAUAAGGAGAUCCCAACAUAAUUUGCAUAACUGUAAAUAUAAAAACUAUGUUCGAACUGUCAAGUUUUUCUUUUAGGAAAACAACACAUAUUCGUGUUAAGAAGGGAUACCUUAUCCAUCUCGAAUCUCAGUCGUGAACUCGUGAUCAGCAGGUAGAUGCCAAUACAUUGUUGUCAUUCAUGCAGGAGUCAACAUAUAUAUGUAACUUGCUGGUGUGGCCAAAUGAAGUCAAGUAGGUAACAAUCAGCUAAAAUAUAUUUGUUAAUGUAUGGAAGGUCCUGUUAGCUGACAAAACAAACCUAGAAUCUACAGCAAAAGUUACUAAGCAAAUCAAAAGCUUUCAUAACCAGUGACUGUAACAGAUAUACAUCCAGCUGAAACAUCGAUUACACCAUCAACUAUAAUACAGAGAUCAAGUAACCAUUUGGAGGCAAUGAUAUAGUCAAUGUGGUGCACUUUAAUACUAUGUCAUAGUCCAAUGUAUAUCUAAAAAUUUGUAGGUACAGUACCGAAACAUGAGAGGCAUGAAACCAUAUAUGCUCCUUUCUAUCUUUGAUAUUUCCAGUGAAAGUGGCCAAAGUACCCAGCCAACUUUAUCACACAGAUAAUAGAUCUGCAAAUAACAGCGAAAUAAUAACAAUUGUAUGGAUUGGUAAUUACAACUAUGAUACUGAUACUACGCAUGUGAUUUUGAGGUCACCAAAGGGUGAGACACGAAGCUGAUGGCGGAGACCAUAAGAGCGAUGCCGCUCAGCUGUUUAAAAGGGGCGAUCUUAGCGGGGGCAGGGGAAGUCGUCUGAGAGCCGGAUGCUUCGUUCCUUUUUGGGCAGCAGGACGGUGUUGGAGGUCAUCUAUGACGAGGCAUAGUCGUCCCACGUAGAGAUGGCCGGGGUUGAUGCAUUGAGGCUGUAUGGUAGUGCACGACCACGACUCUGUGCUGCUCCCGGCGGCGGCGGAUCUGGCCUGCGCGUUUGGAUCAUGGGGGCGGGAUACGGCGGCGGUACUGCAUCUACAGCGCUCGCUAUGGAGGUUCAGGGAUGCGGCUUGGUAAUGAACCUGGUCGCAGCGUCUCCACCUCCGGGUCGGCCAUGUGGCGAGCAACCCCGACGUAGGCAGGCCGGCACUGCGCUCGCGAUGCAGGGAAGAAGACGGGAACUCCGUCGGCGCCGACACCAGACCGCAUCGCUGCAGUUGGCAGCAUGGCCGAGGACACGGAGACACGGCCCGCGUCGGCGGGCGCGGAGGAGAGGGAGGAGGGCGAGAUCGAGGACGACGACUCCUCGUAGUGCAGUUGACUCCGGUGUGGUUCGCUGUGUUGACGCCGUGACGGAGGAACCAGGACAAGACCUCAGAUCCAAU
rnacentral:rRNA from 1 species